UAGGUGUCUUCAACAUGAGACUGCAUCUCUUCCUGUCGGGUGUCACGGAUGAACCAAGUUCACGGCAGGAGAUGCAGAUGAGGGCAACUGCAUCGAACUCUCUCAUGCACCAAAUGGCAGUUGCUAAAAAGCAUUCGUGAAGUAAAAUCAUGUAGCAACACCAAAUGGCGGCGCCCCAGCAUGGC